AUGAACGCUGGCGGCGUGCCUAACACAUGCAAGUCGAGCGGAGGUGUGGAGUAGUUUACUAUGAAGCAUCUUAGCGGCGGACGGGUGAGUAACGCGUGGGCAACCUGCCCUAUGCAGGGGGAGUAACAUAUCGAAAGGUGUGCUAAAACCGCAUAAAGCUUAAGAAUCGCAUGAUUUUUAAGUCCAAAGAUUUAUCGGCAUAGGAUGGGCCCGCGUCUGAUUAGCUAGUUGGUGAGGUAACGGCUCACCAAGGCGACGAUCAGUAGCCG
rnacentral:rRNA from 1 species